GUUUAUUUGCGUUACUUUCCAUUUUUUAAUAUUAUCAUAUAAAAUAUGUUAUAAAACAGGGCUGUAAAAAUAAAUGUUCUUGUACAUUUCACUAUGAUAAUAUAUGAGGUCGUCUCCUGAAAUGGUUUCCAACAGUCUUGAAGGAGUUCCCAGAGAUGCUGAGCACUUGUUGGUCCUUUGCCUUCACUCUGCGCUCCAUCUCAUCCCAAACCAUCCCUGGUUUUAGGUCAGGUGACUGUGGAGGCCAGGCCAUCUGGUGCAGCACUACAUCACUCUCCUUCAAAUAGCCGUGACACUGCCUGGAGGUACAUUUCUGUCAUGGUGCUGGGUCUUUUUCCGAGUACUUUGAGAUUUUGUUCUGGACUUUUUAUUUGUUCCUUUGUAUUUGAGAAAUGUUCACAUUCAAGGUCUGAUUAGUUGUUCUUGAGUUUAGUAUUCUGUAAUGCUUCUAAGUUUGUUAUUGUUAGUUCCCUUAGUUCUCUGUCUUGUCAUCAGCAUCUCCUGUGAAGGUCAGUCUUGUCUCCCCGUCCACUCCCCGUGUCUGUCUGGCCUCUCCGUGUCCCGUCUCUGCGGUUGUCUGGUUCCCUGUCUUGUCUCAUUAAUACGUAUUUAGUUCUGGUUCCUGUGUUGAUCCCGUGUUGAUCCCGUAAUAAUCUCUCUGUGUUUUGUCCUUUUGUCUCUCCGGUCAGUCAUGCCUACCUGUCUGUUUGUCUCCGAUACCUGUAUCAAGUUCAUGUGUCUUAGUCUGGGCCUUGGUGUGUGCACUACUUACAGUUUUAUUUUAAUACUUCCUCGCCUCGUGUUUAGUUUUGCUUCAACUGUCUUAUGAAUCUGUCCAGCUGUGCUCCAGGUGUGUCCACUCUGCAUCUCACUGUGGUCUGAAUCACCUCCUCACUGAUGGGACUGUUCCUACCCACCUCAAUUAUUGGUUUUGCUUUUCCUCCUUAAAAGCGUUAAUAAAGCUGUGACUCUGUCAUUUAAACUUGAAUAAAAUGAAAUUAACCUGCUUUAUAGUUUGAGUUGCAGAGUGAGGGGGCAGUCUGCAGUUGGCUGCUGUUUCUGCCUCUUUCAUACUGGACUGACCCAGUAUGAAAGAGGCUGAAAGUGUCGCUGUCUUGUUCUAGGGCAGCACGUGGCACUGACAGGCAACACACACACACACACACAUUAACUUGCAUCAAAGCUGAGAUGUGCCUUCUGUUCAUCCUAAUCUGCUCUAUCCAAAUCUGUCUGAGUCACUCCUCUGUCUGACUGGAAAGUGGAAAUCAAAUAUACAGUUUUAAACUCAUAAAAACAAUAAUGCCAGUUAUUUCCAUGUGAUUGAAGUGCAUUCUUCUAGAUUCGAUUCAGGGG
ensembl:lncRNA